rnacentral:rRNA from 1 species
GAUGAACGCUGGCGGCGUGCCUAAUACAUGCAAGUCGAGCGAACGGACGAGAAGCUUGCUUUUCUGAUGUUAGCGGCGGACGGGUGAGUAACACGUGGAUAACCUACCUAUAAGACUGGGAUAACUUCGGGAAACCGGAGCUAAUACCGGAUAAUAUUUUGAACCGCAUGGUUCAAAAGUGAAAGACGGUCUUGCUGUCACUUAUAGAUGGAUCCGCGCUGCAUUAGCUAGUUGUUAAGGUAACGGCUUACCAAGGCAACGAUGCAUAGCCGACCUGAGAGGGUGAUCGGCCACACUGGAACUGAGACACGGUCCAGACUCCUACGGGAGGCCGCAGUAGGGAAUCUUCCGCAAUGGGCGAAAGCCUGACGGAGCAACGCCGCGUGAGUGAUGAAGGUCUUCGGAUCGUAAAACUCUGUUAUUAGGGAAGAACAUAUGUGUAAGUAACUGUGCACAUCUUGACGGUACCUAAUCAGAAAGCCACGGCUAACUACGUG